UUGUAUUUGUGUGUGGAUUUUUGAGACUGUCCUGACGGUAUAUGACACACAAAUGUGCUCAGCCAAUCACAUCAGCCGGCGUUCGAGCGUAAGGUUGAAGACAUUGCGCUUCUAUUACGCAGAGAAGGCUACUAGUGCGAAGCCACCAUAGAUCUUUAUACACCGAUCAGAGGAAAUAACCGGAAGUAGAGCCAUUACUGAAGUGCUCCCUGACGUAAACUCGUAAUUGAGGCGUAUGAAGUUCCUGACUUUCACAUCAUCUUUGUACAAAUAUGUCUGGAUCUGGACUAACGUGUGCCGUAAUCGGAUGUCACAAUAACAGCAGAACGCUAAAAAUGUGGAAAAAGAGCGUAUGUGCGCUUCAUAGUCCACAGUUUAAAGAGGAUUGUCCUUGUUGUGUGCCCUACGGUGUAAACCGCUUCCCCGGCCGUGCUGAGGAUGAAGACAUUCGCAAGAUAUGGAUUAAAAACUACACCGAAAGGACUUUGCCCCCAAACAAGUAUUCAAUGGUGUGUGGAGUAUACUUCCCUGACGGCAGACCAACGCAGGAACACCCAUAUCCCAUAUUUAAUAUGGGAUAUGAAUAUAGUAAAGCACUAUCAUGUGGAAGACCACCCCCGAAGAGGAGAUGUCUCCAGCCCCCAA